rnacentral:tRNA from 1 species
CGGGGCGUAGCCCAGCGGCUAAGGCGCUUGGUUUGGGACCAAGAGAUCGUGAGUUCAAUUCUCACCGCCCCGA